rnacentral:rRNA from 1 species
GGGUUGUGAGGUUAAGCGACUAAGCGUACACGGUGGAUGCCCUGGCAGUCAGAGGCGAUGAAGGACGUGCUAAUCUGCGAUAAGCGUCGGUAAGGUGAUAUGAACCGUUAUAACCGGCGAUUUCCGAAUGGGGAAACCCAGUGUGAUUCGUCACACUAUCAUUAACUGAAUCCAUAGGUUAAUGAGGCGAACCGGGGGAACUGAAACAUCUAAGUACCCCGAGGAAAAGAAAUCAACCGAGAUUCCCCCAGUAGCGGCGAGCGAACGGGGAGCAGCCCAGAGCCUGAAUCAGUGUGUGUGUUAGUGGAAGCGUCUGGAAAGGCGCGCGAUACAGGGUGACGGCCCCGUACACAAAAAUGCACAUAUUGUGAGCUCGAUGAGUAGGGCGGGACACGUGGUAUCCUGUCUGAAUAUGGGGGGACCAUCCUCCAAGGCUAAAUACUCCUGACUGACCGAUAGUGAACCAGUACCGUGAGGGAAAGGCGAAAAG